UGGGGAAUAUUGGACAAUGGGCGAAAGCCUGAUCCAGCAAUGCCGCGUGCAGGAUGAAGGCCUUCGGGUUGUAAACUGCUUUUGUACGGAACGAAACGGCGAGCUCUAAUACAGUUUGCUAAUGACGGUACCGUAAGAAUAAGCACCGGCUAACUACGUGCCAGCAGCCGCGGUAAUACGUAGGGUGCAAGCGUUAAUCGGAAUUACUGGGCGUAAAGCGUGCGCAGGCGGUUAUGUAAGACAGAUGUGAAAUCCCCGGGCUUAACCUGGGAACUGCAUUUGUGACUGCAUAGCUAGAGUACGGUAGAGGGGGAUGGAAUUCCGCGUGUAGCAGUGAAAUGCGUAGAUAGGCGGAGGAACACCGAUGGCGAAGGCAAUCCCCUGGACCUGUACUGACGCUCAUGCACGAAAGCGUGGGGAGCAAACA
rnacentral:rRNA from 1 species